GUUGAAGACGGGGGAUACACCCCCUGCAGUGA
rnacentral:tRNA from 1 species